GUAACUCCUUGAUUGUUGUAGCCUAUUUACACAAAUCCUAAAUGGUCGUAUUGUUAGUUUAAUAACUGCAUUGUGAUAUAGGCUAUAACAUGGAUUAGGCUUCAUCAAAAUACUGUGAAUUAAAGUUCAUGCAUGCAUGUUGUAUGCAAAACGUUCAAACUUUUUUGUCUUUCUUUUCCUCUUUGCUUUGGGUUGGGUAGAAUUGUACGGUAGGUUCAGCCAUUCCUUGAUCGACCUGACACCAGCAUUAGGCCUACUCGAUGUGUAUGAAGCAAGCUGCCUCUGCAUCAAGUGAGGGAAGAAGCCGCCACUGAAAAGCUUUUUGGACUGUCAUUUGAAGGACACAAAUGAAAGGACAGGAAUUCUGCUCUGUGGCGUUGGCAUCACUAUUUAUUCAAGAAGCCCUUGGACACCAGAAUGUAUGAAAAUUGUAAACAGUAGGCACAGUCAUUCCUUGAUCGACCUGGCAUCAACAUCGCUCGAUGUGUAUGAAGCUGCAAGUGAGAGAAGAAGCCGCCACUGAACACCUUUUUGGACUGUCAUUGUGAAGAGGCAACAAGGGAGAGAUGAACGCUAUCAAAAAUGUGGAGAUGGAUCUGGCAGCCGACCGCUUUGGCACACACCCAACAAGAAACAAAACAAUAAAGAAUACUAAAAUGCAUAA